GGGCGGCGGCCCUGGUCGCGUUGGCACUCGUGCCCAAGUCAACAGCAGUCUGAAGGCCGGGCCCCUGAUGCGGACUGGUGCCCCAGCAGCUGAUUUCACUUUCAUUUCUUCACUCGCCGGUGGCCCGUGGCUUUUCGGAAAAAAGGGCUGUAAACAACGUGGCGGCUCAGCAGCCCGCAUCCUGUCCCCACACUAGAGCCCGUGAGCCGAGGGACGGCAAGAGCCAGAUUAUCGAAAGAGAGAAAGCUAUGUGGAUGAAGAAGGGUUUGAUGGGCUAGGUCCUAACUGUUUGGCCUUUCACCAUCUCUCAGGAUAGCUCCCGAAGAGAAACACAACGAGAGAGGGAACACAAGCAGAGGC